rnacentral:rRNA from 1 species
CAGGUAUUCUUUUGCAGCGCUUAUUGCGCGGCGAAAACCUUACACACUAUGUUUUUUUAAUUUGAAACUAUUGCUUUGGUCUGGCUUAGAAAUAGGUUGGGCCAAAGGUUUUAUCAAAACUUCAAUAUUUAUUAUUGAAUUGUUAUUUUUAAUUUUAUGUCAAUUUGUUGAUUAAUAUCAAAAAUCUUCAAAACUUUCAACAACGGAUCUCUUGGUUCUCGCAUCGAUGAAGAACGCAGCGAAAUGCGAUAAGUAAUAUGAAUUGCAGAUUUUCGUGAAUCAUCGAAUCUUUGAACGCACAUUGCGCCCUUUGGUAUUCCAAAGGGCAUGCCUGUUUGAGCGUCAUUUCUCUCUCAAAUCUUCGGAUUUGGUUUUGAGUGAUACUCUUAGUCAGACUAAGCGUUUGCUUGAAAUGUAUUGGCAUGAGUGGUACUAGAUAGUGCUGAACUGUUUUCAAUGUAUUAGGUUUAUCCAACUCAUUGACCAGUAAAGUAUUUGUUUAUUACACAGGCUCGGCCUUACAACAACAAACAAAGUUUGACCUCAAAUCAGGUAGGACUACCCGCUGAACUUAAGCAUAUCAUAGGCGGGGAGGA